ensembl:lncRNA
UAUAUUUGCAGAUUUCUUGAGUUAAUACCAAAGUCAGGUGGAAAUUUCAUGUGAAUAGCCUCAUUUGGAAAUAUAUGUACUGAAAGAAAUGUUGAGGCGUUCAAAACUUAUUUCCCGCACUGUAUGUGCUUGUUGAACAUCCCAUUAAAGAUUUAGUCGUCCCUUUGUUGUUAACCUCCACUCAUCUGGGAAGGCUUUCAACUCGGUUUUGGAGCAUGGUUGUGGGCUACACUACACUAUAUGGACAAAAGUUUGUGCACACAUGACCAUAACACCCAUAUGUCCAUUCCGAGCGUGGAGCUUAGCUGUGAGGAUUUGCUCAUUCAGCCACAAGAGCAUUAGUGAGGUCAGGCACAGGGGGAUUGUCAUGCUGGAACAUGUUUGCACCUCUUAGUUCCAGUGACUUAAAUCUGUAAAACUACAGCAAACAAUACGAUUGUGUGCUUUCAACUUUGCGGCAACAGUCUGGGGAAGAACCACAUAUGGGUGUGAUGGUCAGGUGUCCACAAACAUUUGGCCAUAUUGUUUAUCACAGCAAAAGAAUCUGCUUUCUGGAUGUGACCUAUUCAUAAGUUGGCCAAAUGGUAAAGUGUGUGAGUGUGUGUGAGAUGGACAGCACCAGCGCUGGAAUCACAAGCGACUCGUCUGAGUCUGCACCUCUCUGUGUGUUGUACAGUAAGUGUGUGCUUCUUUUAAAGAGUGAACGUUUGAAGCACCACGGCGAAAAUCUCCUAAUCCGCAUAAAACUGCACUUUUAACGGUAAUAUAUACUAGUUGAAGUCACUGUUGAAUUACGGAAUAUUAUAUUUAAAUAUCAAGAUGCACUUCAAAUGCUCUCACUACCUCCUUUUGAGAAUCUUUGGACAUCCGUUAAGGUUAUCGGGUAAAUUAAGUGUUGUCUCUGUCAUGGGAAGCAUGUUUAACUGUGUUCUUAGUGCACAAGUCAUUUAAAAAAUUUUUAAAUUUUGUUUUUGUUCAAAAAUAUUUAUCGAUGUUAAUAUUGCUAACUUAAAUAAUUCAGUUCACCCAAAAUGUUUACGCAUUGUUUUUGUUCCUUUUUCGUUCUUUUUUUUGUUUUUUUAUGUUACUAAUGUAGGAUCUGUUGCAAGGUGUUAUAUUUAUUUUUUUGGUGAAGAAAGAAACUUAAAGCUAAAAUUGGUUUAGGGUUUUUUUUUUUUUUUUUUUUAACAUACCACUGUUUGUGUUAGUAUAGCAUAAUGUUAUACUGGUCAGAUUCAUUGUCACUGUUGUCCCUCACACUUGAAUGAUAUAUGAUGUAUUGAAUCAUCCCAGCACGAGUGCCAACGCACAAUUACCAGUUCAACAAGUCGUUUUUUCUUUAAAAAUUAUAUAAAAACGUGUCAUUUUCAGCAACCAUUUUUGUGCCAUGAAAAGAUAACGUCUCUUUGUAGUCCAUCUGCUCAGAAUAACGCUGUUUAAAUCGGCCAAAUCCAGAAAUCUUAGGUUUUAUAUUCUCAUUGAUCAUCAUCUUUUUUUUUUUUUUUUUUUUUUUUUUUUUUUUACAGAAAUAAUUUAUUUUAUUUUGCUUUAUGGGAAAUUGCAAGAAAAAACAAAACCUCAGCCUACAGUAUAAUCACUUGUAUAAAUGAAACACAUUGUUGGUUGAUUGUAGGCCUGUCACAGUUAUUCAAGCUGAAGGGAUUGAGCUGAUUUAACAGUUUAAAUUCCACACUUUAUGAAUUGAUGUUCCUUUAUCAAUAUAAUGAAGAGGGUGUGACGACAGGGAGCACGGUGGCUUAGUGGUUAGCAUGUUCGCCUCACACCUCCAGGGUCGGGGGUUCGAUUCCCACCGUGGCCCUGUGUGCGGAGUUUGCAUGUUCUCCCCGUGCUGCGGGGGUUUCCUCCGGGUACUCCGGUUUCCUCCCCCAGUCCAAAGACAUGCAUGGUAGGCUGAUUGGCGUGUCUAAGGUGUCCGUAGUGUAUGAAUGGGUGUGUGAGUGUGUGUCAAGAUGGAUGUCACCCUGUCCAGGGUGUACCCCACCUUGUGCCCGAUGCUCCCUGGGAUAGGCUCCAGGUUUCCCCGUGACCCUGAAAAGAUUAAGCGCUAUAGAAGAUGGAGGGAUGAUGUUCCGACAUAUUUCGAUCAUUUUUCUUGAUCAAAAGCUUUGGCCGAUUAACUAUUUGUAACUGUUAUUUUUUUCUGUUUUAACAGAUUUUAGUUAUUAUUUACUGACAUGUCUUUCCUGUGCGUUUUACGCAGGAAUUCUGGUGUUUUCAGUGUCAGUAAAUAGCUGUGUACAGUAUAUACAUUAUUACACAACUGAUAUAAUGUUCAUGAUACAACUGGCAGAACGUCAACAGGAAAGCCCUUUAAAUUGUUUACUGCAGUCAUUUGUAUGCCAGUGAAUUCUCAAUCAAAAUGUUAUAAUUGUGACAGGCCUAGUAGCAAACUGAAGGAACAGCGCAAGUCCCUGUUGAUCAUGUGAUGGCUCAUAUUUGGUGCUAAAAAAAAAAUUUGUGUGCUUGAAACUUUUUGCUAAACACUCUUUUCUCAGUGCACUGAUGGGACGUGAACGUGAAUCUGUAUAGAUAUGUGUCCUGGUGUAGAUUGUAUUUCUUACUGUUUCUUGUUAAUUGCUAUAGUAGAUGCGGUGUGAUGAUAAAACCUAAUGGCAGCAGCAUAAAUUAUAUAUAUAUAUAUA